rnacentral:tRNA from 1 species
GGAAGGGUGGUAAGGCGUUGGUCUUGUAAACCAAAGAUUGUGGGUUCAACCCCCAUCCAUGCCU